rnacentral:rRNA from 1 species
AAUUUAAAGUUUUAUUUUAUAGGGUUUUUUAAAAAUAAUUAUAUGUUUGAGUAAUUAGUUUGAAAUGAUUGUUUUUAUUAUAGAUAAAUAGUACCGUGAGGGAAUAUGCUAAAAUUAUUAUAAGAAUAAUUAAUUUUUGGUACCUUUUGUAUCAGGGUUUAUUAAAAGGGUGUUUAGGUUUAAGCUUUCUCGAAUUUAUAGGAGCUAAUAAUAUAUAUAUAUUAAUGUUGAAGAAUUAUUUUUAAUAUAUUGUUGGAAUUAGACGUUAGUCGGAUUUAAAUAUAUCUAGUUUUCUAAGAAAUUAAUUUAAUUAAGUUUAUUUUGUGAAUCGUUUGUGUAAAUAAUAGAUUUUGGGAUAGAGUAAUAUUCAAGGGGAUAAGCUUUUGAAUAAAUUUUUAUAAAUCUGAUUUUUUAUUAAAAAUUGAAUAGGAAUAGAAGUUUUCAUUUUUUGUAGUGUUUUAUAGUAAGAUUUUUAUUUAAAUGAUUUUAGGGUUUUUAGGUUUUUUAUUGGAAUGUUGAAUAUAAUUGGAAAUUUUGAGUAAUAAUGAUAAAAUGAGUAUAGUGUUUUGUUUAUAUAGUUUGUAAAUGAAAGGUUUAAUUAAGUAACUCGGCAAAUUUACUUUCUGCCUGUUUAUUAAAAACAUGGCCUUUUGGGAAUAAUUUAAGGUCUGGCCUGCCCAAUGAUUUUUAUUUAAUGGCCGCGGUACUCUGACCGUGCAAAGGUAGCAUAAUCAUUAGUUUUUUAAUUGAAAGCUGGUAUGAACGGUCUCACAAGAAAGUAGCUGUCUCAAUUAAAUGGUUCUGGAAUUUUAUUUUUUAGUCAGAAAGCUAAAAUAUUUUUAAGGGACGAGAAGACCCUAUAGAAUUUUAUAAUUUUUUUUAGGUCAUGUUUUUGGUUUUAUUAAUUUGAUUUGGAGAAAUUUAUUUUGUUGGGGUGAUGGAAAAAUUUAGUUAACUUUUUUUUAUUUUUUUCACUGAUUUGUGUAUAUUUGAUCCGCCUAGGGCGAUUACAAGAUUAAAUUACCUUAGGGAUAACAGCGUAAUUAAUUUGGAGAGUUCUUAUCGAUAAAUUAGUUUGCGACCUCGAUGUUGGAUUAAAAUGAACUUUUGGUGUAGGGGCUAGGAGCGUUAAGUCUGUUCGACUUUUAAAAUUUUACAUGAUCUGAGUUUAAACCGGCGUGAGCCAGGUUGGUUUCUAUCUUUAAAUGAUUAUAAUAUCUUAGUACGAAAGGACCAGGUAUUAGUUUUAUAAUUUGAUUUUGGAAUAAUAUA